rnacentral:lncRNA from 1 species
UCUGAACAGACUUAGCAUUUGGUCCGUCUAUGUUUGGUGUACAUUCAGGAGGAAGGGCUCCCGGAAGUUGCUGCUCUGUUAGUUCUUUGUACUUCUCCUUUACCUCUUCUGAUGUUCCCUUAUCAGGAAACAUUGAGGAAAUGGCUUCAAAAAUCUUGUCAAAAGGAAAUUUCUGAGGUGGGUGCCUUUCUUUAUCAUCAUCUCUGUUAUCCUCUAAAUCUUUUUGUUUUUCAUCUCUCAAAUCAGGAUCAUCCCCAUCAUCAUUAUCAUCUUCAUCAUCACUGUAUUGACCAAGAGCAUUCACCAACUCCACAAAAAUCUCAUCAUUUAUAAACCCAUAUUCUCUAUCUCCAUGUACUUUCCCAUCAUAAUUUUUAAUUAAUUCUUCAAUGAAAGUUCCAUCCUGAUCAAGGAAAAUCCAAAUCACUGGUCACAGAACAAGAAGUCAUGAUGUUUACAGGCUGUAUCCUUCGCUGUUUCCAUUCUUGGUUUAAGAUUUCUGUCCUUUCUAGAAUCUUCUACCGAUUAGAAUUAAACAUACUCUUUACUUCAUCAGCUUGUCUGAACCUCUUGAGCUGCCUCAGUCUCAUGUAUUCAGAUUUUACACGCUUCCACCAACAAACUGGUCCCUUCUCGGAUUUCUUUCCAGUCUGGCCCAUGAUUGUCCCCUGAACAGAAAUCAGACGACCCUGACUCCAGCCCCAGCUCAGCUACUAAUAACUUGUUGUGACAGGACCUUGGCAGUCACUUCUCUUCUCUGGGUCUCAGUUUCCUCAUCUUCUUUCCCUCGCCCCAGCCCGCACCUCUCCCCAUGUGCUGCUCCCGCGCGCCAUCGCCGCUGGUCCUUCGCUGCUUUCUCUGUCCCUGUGGGUGUCUGUAAAGAUAAUU